UACGGAGGAGGCAAGCGUUAUCCGGAAUUAUUGGGCGUAAAGCGUCCGCAGGUGGCACCUCAAGUCUGCUGUCAAAGACCGGGGCUUAACCCCAGAAAGGCAGUGGAAACUGAAGUGCUAGAGUGCAGUAGGGGUAGAGGGAAUUCCCGGUGUAGCGGUGAAAUGCGUAGAGAUCGGGAAGAACAUCAGUGGCGAAAGCGCUCUACUGGACCUUAUCUGACAUUGAGGGACGAAAGCUAGGGGAGCGAAUGGG
rnacentral:rRNA from 1 species